UACGGGGGGAGCAAACGUUGUUCGGAAUCACUGGGCGUAAAGGGCGUGUAGGCGGCUGGAUAAGUGGGAUGUUAAAUCCCCCGGCUCAACCGGGGACCUGCAUCUCAUACUGUUCAGCUCGAGCACAUCAGAGGAGACUGGAAUUCCCGGUGUAGCGGUGAAAUGCGUAGAUAUCUGGAGGAACACCGGUGGCGAAGGCGGCAUCCUGGACCAACACUGACGCUGAUGAGCGAAAGCCAGGGGAGCAAACGGG
rnacentral:rRNA from 1 species